GAUGAAGAACGUAGCGAAAUGCGAUACGUAAUGUGAAUUGCAGAAUUCAGUGAAUCAUCGAAUCUUUGAACGCACAUUGCGCCCGCCAGCACCCUGGCGGGCAUGCCUGUUCGAGCGUCAUUUCAACCAUCAAGCCCCAGGCUUGCGUUGGAGCCCUGCGGCUGCCGCAGCCUCCUAAAAGCAGUGGCGGGCUCGCUAUCACACCGAGUGCAGUAGAUUACUCUUCGCUCAGGGCGUGCAGCGGGUUCCGGCCGUGAAACCCCCUACUUUUAAAGGUUGACCUCGGAUCAGGUAGGAAUACCCGCUGAACUUAAGCAUAUCAAUAAGCGGAGGA
rnacentral:misc_RNA from 1 species